rnacentral:rRNA from 1 species
UGAGGAAUAUUGGUCAAUGGACGGAAGUCUGAACCAGCCAAGUAGCGUACAGGAUGACGGCCCUAUGGGUUGUAAACUGCUUUUGUAUGGGGAUAAAGUCAAUCACGUGUGAUUGUUUGCAGGUACCAUACGAAUAAGGACCGGCUAAUUCCGUGCCAGCAGCCGCGGUAAUACGGAAGGUUCGGGCGUUAUCCGGAUUUAUUGGGUUUAAAGGGAGCGUAGGCCGGAGAUUAAGUGUGUUGUGAAAUGUAGACGCUCAACGUCUGACUUGCAGCGCAUACUGGUUUCCUUGAGUACGCACAACGUUGGCGGAAUUCGUCGUGUAGCGGUGAAAUGCUUAGAUAUGACGAAGAACUCCGAUUGCGAAGGCAGCUGACGGGAGCGCAACUGACGCUGAAGCUCGAAGGUGCGGGUAUCGAACAGGAUUAGAUACCCUGGUAGUCCGCACAGUAAACGAUGGAUGCCCGCUGUUGGUACCUAGUAUCAGCGGCUAAGCAAAAGCAUUAAGCAUCCCACCUGGGGAGUACGCCGGCAACGGUG